UGCUCUGGGGUUGUCCCCUGCCUGAUGGGCUGCCACCAAGGCUCUAAAACCCUCGCACACAAAGGCACCACGGGACUCCCACCCUCGACGUGAGCGCUCUGCCUGCCUCUGGCGCUGCCUGUCAGACCCGCUUCAGCUGGAAUCAAGUUUACAGUCUCUUCACGGCCCAGAAGGAGGAAAGAAAAUGAAGAAGAGAACAAAUAUUAUGGCAUCCUUGCUUUCCUGAGGCUGGUAAUCCAGCCAGUUGCAGUCUCAGCCUCUAAGAGCUCAGUUUUCCCAGUAGCUUUAGGAAUAUUUCCUGCAGGCUUGCCUCUCUGAUGUCACAGCUCACAGAGAACCAUGGGAGGUUAGUUGGUUAACAGUCUCUCAUAAUUUAUUCCAGGAUCUUUAAACUUUUGUGUGCUUUUCCCAUAAAAGACAUUUUUUCUGGAGCACAUUAGAUGGAAAAUAUUUUGCAAGAUCAUCAGAAGAAUUUCCAUUAAAAAUCUGUUUGAGGAAGCUCCUUCCUGAUUCUGAAAAUUAAGUUGUAAAGGAGGAGUCUUUUUUUAAGUUGUAUUUGUACUGGGAAUUCUCAGAAAUCCCAGCCAAGAAUUAUUGUAACAUUGUACAAGGCUGAAAUUCCCUGUAGCUCUAUGUUUAGCACUUGCUAAGACCCCAUGGCAACAUAUGCUUUUCUAGUCACAUAUUUACUCUCUGUGACUGAAAUGAAUACAAAAUUUGCUACCUAGUUGAGUGAAAUUAACUAUCUUUAGUCAUCUUGGUCAAACUUGAAAACCUGAUUUAUUUAUUAUCUAUCAUAAUACUUCUGUUUACCCUUGAUUUUCUUAUUUUUUGCUUGCUUAAGUACCGUGUCCUCCCGUGAAGCUUGGAUAGGAAUAUGCUUGAAUGUUUUGCUAAUGUAAGUUCCAGGAUUGGAUCCAUUGCAACAAUUUUGGGGUUCUUUUGAAAAAUGUGAGAUUUUAAUUGGUCUUAAUUUUUCAGCGUAGAAGUCCAAUACUGUAAUCGACGCUUUAAGAAUGAUCGAAUGCUUUAACUGUGCAAUAGUUCCCCUCCGAUAUCUGUUGUAUUUAAAGGUUAAAGUAAGCCUUGAUGAAAGUGUUUGCCUUUAGCUGUUCAUUGCUACUUUAACUAUUGUUUCAGCUGUGAAAAGCUUUUUUUUUAUUUGAUUGAGGUUUGUUUGUUUCUCGCUGCUAAGCUUUUCCAAUAUUUAAAAAUUCUUCAUUACAUACAGGUUUGAAUUUUGGCUUCUCUUUGGAGUAUUUUACAAGGACAGAGAUUUUACAUGCUAAAAUGCGCUCUGUAAAGCACAGCUGUAAAA
rnacentral:lncRNA from 1 species